rfam:Papilio xuthus contig7399, whole genome shotgun sequence.
UAAAGGAAUUCGGCAAAAUAUUAUAUUCACUUGUUUAUCAAAAACAUGUCUUUUUGUUAAUAAUUUAAAGUCUAAUCUGCCCACUGAUAAAGUAUUAAAGGGCUGCAGUAUUUUGACUGUACAAAGGUAGCAUAAUCAUUAGUCUCUUAAUUGGUGACUUGUAUGAAAGAUUGGAUGAAAUAUAUACUGUCUCUA